CACGUAGGGUGCGAGCGUUGUCCGGAAUUAUUGGGCGUAAAGAGCUCGUAGGCGGUGUGUCGCGUCGGCCGUGAAAACCUGCAGCUUAACUGUGGGCUUGCGGUCGAUACGGGCAUCACUGGAGUUCGGCAGGGGAGACUGGAAUUCCCGGUGUAGCAGUGAAAUUCGUAGAUAUUGGGAAGAACACCGGUGGCGAAGGCGGCUCUCUGGACCGAGACUGACGCUGAGGCGCGAAAGCGUGGGGAGCAAACAGG
rnacentral:rRNA from 1 species